rnacentral:snRNA from 1 species
GUUCACUUCAGCAGCGCACACUAAAAUUAGAAAGUACAGAGAUUAGCAUGACCUGUGCACCAGGAUGAUACACAAAUUUGUGAAGCGUUCCAGGUUUUU